AUACUUUCCUGGCAGGGGAGAUUCUAUGGUCAUAAAAGUGGUUUUCCCAGGUCAAGGCUUAUUCAUUGCACUCCAGACUUGCUGACCCCUGCAAUUUCCCCAAAUGUGGGAAACUCGACAGCAUAAUUUGUGGUAGUGGGGGACUGUGUUCACGCUUUCCCCAC